rnacentral:rRNA from 1 species
CACGUAGGGGCCAAGCGUUGUCCGGAUUUAUUGGGCGUAAAGAGCUCGUAGGCGGUUGGGUAAGUCGGGUGUGAAAACCCCGGGCUCAACUCGGAGACGCCACCCGAUACUGCUCUGACUUGAGUCCGGUAGGGGAGUGGGGAAUUCCUGGUGUAGCGGUGAAAUGCGCAGAUAUCAGGAGGAACACCAAUGGCGAAGGCAGCUCGCUGGGACGGUACUGACGCUGAGACGCGAAAGCGUGGGGAGCAAACAGG